rnacentral:rRNA from 1 species
UGGUGGAGCGAUUUGUCUGGUCAAUUCCGAUAACGAACGAGACUCUAGCCUACUAAAUAGUUCGGGGACCCCCACAAAGGGGCCCCGCUUCAACUUCUUAGAGGGACAGGUGGCGUUUAACCACACGAGAUUGAGCAAUAACA